CCCUUAGAUGUCCUGGGCUGCACGCGCGCUACACUGGAAGUUACGGAUUGAGAUACUACCUUGUCCGAAAUGGUCCGGGUAAUCACCUAAAAGCUUGUCAUAAUUGGAAUGGAUUAUUGUAACUAGUAGUCCUGAACGAGGAAUUCCUAGUAAGUCCCAGUCAACAGCUGGUACUGAUUACGUCCCUGCCCUUUGUACACACCGCCCGUCGCUACUACUGAUUGGACGUUUAAGCAAGAUUUUUAAACACUGACAGUGUGUAGUUCACGCUAUACUACAGUGAGAAGAAGAAGAUCGAGCUUACUUGUCUAGAGGAAGUAAAAGUCGUAACA
rnacentral:rRNA from 1 species